UCGGGAAAACAGCCUCCCGUUCUGCAAAGUCAGACGGUGUCCCGUCCAAGCGCUGG
ncrna:Variovorax paradoxus S110 chromate-resist RNA